rnacentral:rRNA from 1 species
UCGAACGGGAAAUAUUUCAUUGAGACUUCGGUGGAUUUGAUCUAUUUCUANGUGGCGGACGGGUGAGUAACGCGUGGGUAACCUGCCUUAUACAGGGGGAUAACAGUCAGAAAUGGCUGCUAAUACCGCAUAAGCGCACAGAGCUGCAUGGCUCAGUGUGAAAAACUCCGGUGGUAUAAGAUGGACCCGCGUUGGAUUAGCUUGUUGGUGGGGUAACGGCCCACCAAGGCGACGAUCCAUAGCCGGCCUGAGAGGGUGAACGGCCACAUUGGGACUGAGACACGGCCCAGACUCCUACGGGAGGCAGCAGUGGGGGAAUAUUGCACAAUGGGGGAAACCCUGAUGCAGCGACGCCGCGUGAAGGAAGAAGUAUCUCGGUAUGUAAACUUCUAUCAGCAGGGAAGAUAGUGACGGUACCUGACUAAGAAGCCCCGGCUAACUACGUGCCAGCAGCCGCGGUAAUACGUAGGGGGCAAGCGUUAUCCGGAUUUACUGGGUGUAAAGGGAGCGUAGACGGUGUGGCAAGUCUGAUGUGAAAGGCAUGGGCUCAACCUGUGGACUGCAUUGGAAACUGUCAUACUUGAGUGCCGGAGGGGUAAGCGGAAUUCCUAGUGUAGCGGUGAAAUGCGUAGAUAUUAGGAGGAACACCAGUGGCGAAGGCGGCUUACUGGACG